rnacentral:piRNA from 1 species
UCCCACUAUCAGUGUACUAUUAUAAUGGGU